CCUACGGGUGGCAGCAGUGGGGAAUAUUGGGCAAUGGGCGCAAGCCUGACCCAGCAACGCCGCGUGAAGGAAGAAGGCUUUCGGGUUGUAAACUUCUUUUCUCAGGGACGAAGAAAGUGACGGUACCUGAGGAAUAAGCCACGGCUAACUACGUGCCAGCAGCCGCGGUAAUACGUAGGUGGCAAGCGUUAUCCGGAUUUACUGGGUGUAAAGGGCGUGUAGGCGUGGAAGCAAGUCAGAUGUGAAAACCACGGGCUCAACCUGUGGACUGCAUUUGAAACUGUUUUUCGUUAGUACUGGAGAGGCAGACGGAAUUACUAGGGUAGCGGGGAAAUGCGUAGAUAUUAGGAGGAAAACCAGUGGCGAAGGCGGUCUGCUGGACAGCAACUGACGCUGAGGCGCGAAAGCGUGGGGAGCAAACAGGAUGAGAUACCCUAGUAGUC
rnacentral:rRNA from 1 species